rnacentral:rRNA from 1 species
AUUGGACAAUGGAGGCACUCUGAUCCAGCCAUGCCGCGUGAAGGAAGACGGCCUUAUGGGUUGUAAACUUCUUUUAUACAGGAAGAAACCUUUCCACGUGUGGAAAGUUGACGGUACUGUAAGAAUAAGGAUCGGCUAACUCCGUGCCAGCAGCCGCGGUAAUACGGAGGAUCCAAGCGUUAUCCGGAAUUAUUGGGUUUAAAGGGUCCGCAGGCUGUUUGUUAAGUCAGAGGUGAAAUCCUACCGCUCAACGGUAGAACUGCCUUUGAUACUGGCAAACUUGAGUUAUUGUGAAGUAGUUAGAAUGUGUAGUGUAGCGGUGAAAUGCAUAGAUAUUACACAGAAUACCGAUUGCGAAAGCAGAUUACUAACAAUAUACUGACGCUGAGGGACGAAAGCGUGGGUAGCGAACAGGAUUAGAUACCCUGGUAGUCCACGCCGUAAACGAUGGUCACUAGCUGUUCGAUGUACAUUGGUACGUUGAGUGGCUAAGCGAAAGUGAUAAGUGACCCACCUGGGGAGUACGCUCGCAAGAGUGAAACUCAAAGGAAUUGACGGGGGCCCGCACAAGCGGUGGAGCAUAUGGUUUAAUUCGAUGAUACGCGAGGAACCUUACCAGGACUUAAAUGUAAGUUGCAUGAUUCAGAAAUGAAUCUUUCUUCGGACUACUUACAAGGUGCUGCAUGGUUGUCGUCAGCUCGUGCCGUGAGGUGUCAGGUUAAGUCCUAUAACGAGCGCAACCCCUAUCGUUAGUUGCCAUCAAGUAAAGUUGGGAACUCUAGCGAAACUGCCGGUGCAAACCGAGAGGAAGGUGGGGAUGACGUCAAAUCAUCACGGCCCUUACGUUCUGGGCUACACACGUGCUACAAUGGUCGGUACAGAAAGCAGCCACUAUGCGAAUAGGAGCUAAUCUUUAAAACCGAUCUCAGUUCGGAUCGCAGUCUGCAACUCGACUGCGUGAAGCUGGAAUCGCUAGUAAUCGGAUAUCAGCCAUGAUCCGGUGAAUACGUUCCCGGGCCUUGUACACACCGCCCGUCAAGCCAUGGAAGCUGGGGGUACCUAAAGUCGGUGACCGAAAGGAGCUGCCUAGGGUAAAACUAGUGACUGGGGCUAAGUCGUAACAAGGUAGCCGUACCGGAAGGUGCGGCUGGAAUACCUCCUUUCU